UCUCCGUAGGUGAACCUGCGGAGGGAUCAUUACAGAGUUCAUGCCCUACCGGGUAGAUCUCCCACCCUAUGUUAUUAUUACUUUGUUGCUUUGGCGGGCCGUUAGGCUCCGGCCCGACUACCGGCCCCGGCUGGUCAGCGCCCGCCAGAGGACCCAAAACCCUGAAUAUUAGUGUCGUCUGAGUACUAUAUAAUAGUUAAAACUUUCAACAACGGAUCUCUUGGUUCUG
rnacentral:misc_RNA from 1 species